rnacentral:lncRNA from 1 species
GAACUUUAUUUUCUAUUUUGGCUGAAAAAGGCUACUGUUUGCAUGGUUACUUGCUUAAUAUUAGAAAUCAAGUAGAAACAGUGCUGGUGACCGAGAAGUGAAUGGGCAUGCUCAAAAAUGACUGGUGGCGCAACCAUUGACAUAAACCUUUAAAAAAGCAAAUCCGGCCAGCCAAAGAACCUAGAAGGAAAGGAGGAGAAAGUCUUCUACUCCUGCAGCAGCUUUCCAAGAUCCCACAGAUGGAAGAUAGUAGAGUCAGGUCUUCAACCCAGGGAAUCUAACAUCAGUGUUUGAACACAAAAUCACUAAAUCUCAAUGAUGUGGAUCAAGGCUGCCCCAGGGAGGGAAGCCCAGGGCAUCCUCGGCUACGUGCAGAUCUAUGUGACCCGAUUCAUAUCUAAAGUUAUACGACCACACAAUAACCAGACCCUCACCUGCACUGAUACCAUUUUAAUGACUUUUCACAUCAUCUUUCCUUUAUCUAUUAAAAGUCACUCUUUAGUCGCAAAAAAAGAGAAAAUAUUGACUUUCAUCCUCAUAUUUAGUUGGUGUAUCAAGAAUCACAGGACUUUCUGAUACCAGCGUCAAUGUGGUCAUCUAUCUGGAAGUGUUCCUCCCUCAUUCUCUUUCAACAAGGAUCUUUGGUAUUUGUUUAGCAGUGUGGCGAUAGAAAUCUUCAGGACAUACGGAAGAAAUGGUGAUAGUUUGCUUACAAAAACCAAAUGGAGAGAAUUAACUAUGGAGAAAGCUCAAGACUCUCCUCUUUUAAUUGACUCUCCCUUCUACAAGGAGGAAUUCUAUCCAAGGACAAAAUAAUACUUGUGAAUGAUUCUAAAAGUCCUGAUGAAGAGGAAGAGGAGCUUGCCUGAAGAUGAGCAGAACAAUUUGUGGUCUAGAAGAAAAAUAAUGACUGCUUGAAUGAAGGCAAUGGAAAUUAAGAUGGUGAGGAAGAUACAGCUUUGAGAAUAUAAUGAGAGUAAAAUCAUCAAGACUUAUUGAUUGCAGUAUGGGAAAGUAAUAGCCAGGCAACAAGGG